rnacentral:rRNA from 1 species
AUUGAACGCUGGCGGCAUGCUUUACACAUGCAAGUCGAACGGUAACAGGCCGCAAGGUGCUGACGAGUGGCGAACGGGUGAGUAAUGCAUCGGAACGUGCCCAGUCGUGGGGGAUAACGCAGCGAAAGCUGCGCUAAUACCGCAUACGAUCUAUGGAUGAAAGCGGGGGACCGUAAGGCCUCGCGCGAUUGGAGCGGCCGAUGUCAGAUUAGGUAGUUGGUGGGGUAAAGGCUCACCAAGCCGACGAUCUGUAGCUGGUCUGAGAGGACGACCGGCCACACUGGGACUGAGACACGGCCCAGACUCCUACGGGAGGCAGCAGUGGGGAAUUUUGGACAAUGGGCGCAAGCCUGAUCCAGCAAUGCCGCGUGCAGGAAGAAGGCCUUCGGGUUGUAAACUGCUUUUGUACGGAACGAAACGGUCCUGGUUAAUACCUGGGGCUAAUGACGGUACCGUAAGAAUAAGCACCGGCUAACUACGUGCCAGCAGCCGCAGUAAUAC